GCUGGCGGCGUGCCUAAUACAUGCAAGUCGAGCGCAGGAAGCCGUUCCGAACCCUUCGGGGGGAMGACGGUGGAAUGAGCGGCGGACGGGUGAGUAACACGUAAAGAACCUGCCCAUAGGUCUGGGAUAACCACGAGAAAUCGGGGCUAAUACCGGAUGUGUCAUCGGACCGCAUGGUCCGCUGAUGAAAGGCGCUYCGGCGUCGCCCAUGGAUGGCUUUGCGGUGCAUUAGCUAGUUGGUGGGGUAAUGGCCCACCAAGGCGACGAUGCAUAGCCGACCUGAGAGGGUGAUCGGCCACACUGGGACUGAGACACGGCCCAGACUCCUACGGGAGGCAGCAGUAGGGAAUCUUCCACAAUGGACGAAAGUCUGAUGGAGCAACGCCGCGUGAACGAUGAAGGUUUUCGGAUCGUAAAGUUCUGUUGUAAGGGAAGAAMAAGUGCCGCAGGCAAUGGCGGCACCUUGACGGUACCUUGCGAGAAAGCCACGGCUAACUACGUGCCAGCAGCCGCGGUAAUACGUAGGUGGCAAGCGUUGUCCGGAAUUAUUGGGCGUAAAGCGCGCGCAGGCGGCCUCUUAAGUCUGAUGUGAAAGCCCCCGGCUCAACCGGGGAGGGCCAUUGGAAACUGGGAGGCUUGAGUAUAGGAGAGAAGAGUGGAAUUCCACGUGUAGCGGUGAAAUGCGUAGAGAUGUGGAGGAACACCAGUGGCGAAGGCGACUCUUUGGCCUAUAACUGACGCUGAGGC
rnacentral:rRNA from 1 species